GGAGAUUGUUCCAGACAUCAUGAACAUUCAAGGGCCAGGGGACUGAACGAGGCAUGCUGUAUGUGAACCAAAGCGCGUCUGAACUGUGGAAGGAGCGCACACUGGCAAACCGUGGAGGCCUCGACUCUUGGAGGCUUCCUGUGCACGAUGCAACAGUAUCCACUGUGGGAGCCUCGCUGAAGCCUGGAAGUGUGCAGUCAGCAUUUUAAACCAUCAUGAGCUACCUUCUGAACCAUCGCCAAGUU
rnacentral:lncRNA from 1 species